rnacentral:rRNA from 1 species
UUGUCUCAAAGAUUAAGCCAUGCAUGUCUCAGUACAAACUAAACUAAAGUGAAACCGCGAAAGGCUCAUUAAAUCAGUUAUGGUUCCUUUGAUCGUACGCACAGUUACUUGGAUAACUGUGGUAAUUCUAGAGCUAAUACACGCAAACAGAGUUCCGACCGGAGACGGGAGGAGCGCUUUUAUUAGAUCAAAACCAAUCGGCGUCGGUCUUUCGGGGCCUUCGUCGUACACCUUGGUGACUCUGAAUAACUUUUAGCUGAUCGCACGGUCUCGCACCGGCGACGCAUCAUUCAAAUGUCUGCCUUAUCAACUGUCGAUGGUAGGUUCUGCGCCUACCAUGGUUGUAACGGGUAACGGGGAAUCAGGGUUCGAUUCCGGAGAGGGAGCCUGAGAAACGGCUACCACAUCCAAGGAAGGCAGCAGGCGCGCAAAUUACCCACUCCCAGCACGGGGAGGUAGUGACGAAAAAUAACGAUACGGGACUCAUCCGAGGCCCCGUAAUCGGAAUGAGUACACUUUAAAUCCUUUAACGAGGAUCAAUUGGAGGGCAAGUCUGGUGCCAGCAGCCGCGGUAAUUCCAGCUCCAAUAGCGUAUAUUAAAGUUGUUGCGUUUAAAAAGCUCGUAGUCGAAUCUGUGUCCCGCGCCGCCGGUUCAUCGCUCGCGGUGUCAACUGGCGUGUCGCGGGACGUCAUGCCGGUGAGCUUAGCGCGGCCUCUAGUCACCUGCGGGCGGCUGUUGCGUCGUUGCGGCUCAACUCAAAAUCCCAUCGCGGUGCUCUUAACUGAGUGUCGAGGUGGGCCGGCACGUUUACUUUGAACAAAUUAGAGUGCUUAAAGCAGGCCAAAAAUUUGCCUGAAUACUGUGUGCAUGGAAUAAUGGAAUAGGACCUCGGUUCUAUUUUGUUGGUUUUCGGAACCCCGAGGUAAUGAUUAAUAGGAACGGAUGGGGGCAUUCGUAUUGCGACGUUAGAGGUGAAAUUCUUGGAUCGUCGCAAGACGGACUUAAGCGAAAGCAUUUGCCAAAAACGCUUUCAUUGAUCAAGAACGAAAGUUAGAGGUUCGAAGGCGAUCAGAUACCGCCCUAGUUCUAACCAUAAACGAUGCCAGCUAGCGAUCCGCCGACGUUCCUCCGAUGACUCGGCGGGCAGCUUCCGGGAAACCAAAGCUUUUGGGUUCCGGGGGAAGUAUGGUUGCAAAGCUGAAACUUAAAGGAAUUGACGGAAGGGCACCACCAGGAGUGGAGCCUGCGGCUUAAUUUGACUCAACACGGGAAACCUCACCAGGCCCGGACACCGGAAGGAUUGACAGAUUGAGAGCUCUUUCUUGAUUCGGUGGGUGGUGGUGCAUGGCCGUUCUUAGUUGGUGGAGCGAUUUGUCUGGUUAAUUCCGAUAACGAACGAGACUCUAGCCUACUAACUAGACGUAUUUUCGACAUCUCAAAGGUCCGCCGGUCCGUGUCGUCGUCGCGUUCCGUCCGUCGUAUUCGGCGCCCUCGGGUGUUCGUUGCUUCGGUUCGGGCACGGCGUUCGCUCGGUCGCCGCGCGCGAUUUUUACUGUCGGCGUACAAUUAAUUCUUCUUAGAGGGACAGGUGGCUUCUAGCCGCACGAGAUUGAGCAAUAACAGGUCUGUGAUGCCCUUAGAUGUCCUGGGCCGCACGCGCGCUACACUGAAGGAAUCAGCGUGUGUCUCCCUGGCCGAACGGCCCGGGUAACCCGCUGAACCUCCUUCGUGCUAGGGAUUGGGGCUUGCAAUUGUUCCCCAUGAACGAGGAAUUCCCAGUAAGCGCGAGUCAUAAGCUGGCGUUGAUUACGUCCCUGCCCUUUGUACACACCGCCCGUCGCUACUACCGAUUGAACGAUUUAGUGAGGUCUUCGGACCGGUACGCGGCGGCGUUUCGACGUCGCCGAUGUUGCUGGGAAGAUGACCGAACUUGAUCAUUU